rnacentral:lncRNA from 1 species
UAAAAGAGCCCAAACAAACAAUUGUUCUACCAGACAAUGAUAAAGGAAAAGCAAAAAUCCCUGAACAUGAUAAUAUGACUCUACAAGAAGAAAUACUUUUCCAAACCAAUGAAACCAUGGAACCACCAAUUGCCAACACGAUAAAAAAUAUGCAAACGGCGUUUUCUGAAAUUCAAAUUACUCCAGAUACUAUAAAUCGAAUCAAUUACAGUAAAAAUUGGCAACCAAUAAAUGCCCGACCAUAUUAUAAAAGACCAACCCCAGUUGAUAUCCAAUUAGAAGAAGACCUAACAAG